UAGAGUUACAGUGCUGCCUUUCAGAGACAUAUCAAAUAAAGCAACUCUCACACACCUGUGCUUACAUUCUUAAGGUAACACAGAACCCAAACCGGCUGUGCACAUGCGCCAUCGUGCAUACAUUUAUUUUGUCCCCCCAUACCAAACGCGAUCACGACACGCAGGUUCAAAACAAACUCUGAACCAAUUACAUUCAUUUGGGGACAGGUCUAAAAGCAUUAAACCUUUAUGGCAAUUUAGCUAGCUAGCUUGCACUUGCUAGCUAAUUUGUCCUAUUUAGCUAGCUUGCUGUUGCUAGCUAAUUUGUCCUAUUUAGCUAGCUUGCUGUUGCUAGCUAAUUUGUACUGGGAUAUAAACAUUGAGUUGUUAUUUUACCUGAAAUGCACAAAGUCCUCUACUCCGACAAUUAAUCCACACAUUAAAUGGUCAACCGAAUCGUUUCUAGUCAUCUCUCCUCCUUCUAGGCUUUUUCUUCUCUUGACUUCAUAUUGCGAUUGGCAACUUUCAUAAAUUAGGUGCAUUACCGCCACCGACCUUGUUCGUCUUUCAGUCACCCACGUGGGUAUAACCAAUGAGGAGAUGUCACGUGGGUACCUGCUUCUGUAAACCAAUGAGGACAUGGGAGAGGCAGGACUUGCAGCGCGAACUGCGUCAGAAAUAGAACUGACUUCUAUUUUAGCCCUUGGCAACACAGACGCUCGUUGGCGCGCACACGACACGAGCGGUGUAGUCAGCCUGCUAAGGUAUAGAUAUCAGACAGACCAGAAAAUAGGUUUCGUUAAAUGGUGGUUUGACCACAAUUCGACUGAAGAGAACAAACAAAUAGACAAUUUUUAUAAGGAGCAAGAAUAUAUUUGAUGAGAAUCUGGGCUAAAAACUGUUUGCAAGCAUGUACAUCUAAAAUACGCAUCCCUCUGAGGAGUGUAGGGGUGGGGGUGGAGGUUGGUGACUCCCCCGUCCACCCUCCCUCCAUCCCUCCCUGGUACAAAGCCCCCAUCACCCCGGACAGAUACCAGUACUAGCUCUCCAGAUCUGCCUCUCUGAGUCCCGCCAUGGCCUUCGCGUGUUCCCUGUCUCUCUGCUCGGAGAGGCCCAGGAUCCAGGGCUGGUGCUGAUUGUGCCUGGAGGAAGGCGUCUCCGCCGGGCCUUCUGAGGGUCAUUGACAUUAGGCGUCUCCUCUGAGGAGUGUAAUUAACAUUAGACCUCCCUUCUGAGGAGGGUCAUUAACAUUAGACCUCCCCUCUGAGGAGGGUCAUUAAUAUUAGACCUCUCCUUCACUCUGAGGAGGGUCAUUAACAUUAGGCCUCUCCUUCACUCUGAGGAGGGUCAUUAACAUUAGACCUCUCCUUCACUCUGAGGAGGGUCAUU
rnacentral:lncRNA from 1 species